rnacentral:rRNA from 1 species
AUUGAACGCUGGCGGCAGGCCUAACACAUGCAAGUCGAACGGCAGCGGGGGGUAGCUUGCUACCCCGCCGGCGAGUGGCGGACGGGUGAGUAAUGCCUGGGGAGCUGCCCAAUCGAGGGGGAUACCAGUUGGAAACGACUGCUAAUACCGCAUACGCCCUGAGGGGGAAAGGUGGGGAUCCUCGGACCUACCGCGAUUGGAUGCACCCAGGUGGGAUUAGCUAGUUGGUGGGGUAACGGCUCACCAAGGCGACGAUCUCUAGUUGGUCUGAGAGGAUGACCAGCCACACUGGAACUGAGACACGGUCCAGACUCCUACGGGAGGCAGCAGUGGGGAAUAUUGCACAAUGGGGGAAACCCUGAUGCAGCCAUGCCGCGUGUGUGAAGAAGGCCUUAGGGUUGUAAAGCACUUUCAGUGGGGGGGAAAGGGUGGAAGCUAAUACCUUUCAUCUGUGACGUUACCCACAGAAGAAGCACCGGCUAACUCCGUGCCAGCCGCCGCGGUAA